rnacentral:rRNA from 1 species
UCAUAUGCUUGUCUCAAAGAUUAAGCCAUGCAUGUCUAAGUAUAAGCAAUUAUACCGUGAAACUGCGAAUGGCUCAUUAAAUCAGUUAUCGUUUAUUUGAUAGUACCUUACUACUUGGAUAACCGUGGUAAUUCUAGAGCUAAUACAUGCUGAAAACCCCAACUUCGGGAGGGGUGUAUUUAUUAGAUAAAAAACCAACGCCCUUCGGGGCUUCUUGGUGAUUCAUGAUAACUUCACGGAUCGCAUGGCCUUGCGCCGGCGACGGUUCAUUCAAAUUUCUGCCCUAUCAACUUUCGAUGGUAAGGUAUUGGCUUACCAUGGUUUCAACGGGUAACGGGGAAUUAGGGUUCGAUUCCGGAGAGGGAGCCUGAGAAACGGCUACCACAUCCAAGGAAGGCAGCAGGCGCGCAAAUUACCCAAUCCCGACACGGGGAGGUAGUGACAAUAAAUACUGAUACAGGGCUCUUUUGGGUCUUGUAAUUGGAAUGAGUACAAUUUAAACCUCUUAACGAGGAACAAUUGGAGGGCAAGUCUGGUGCCAGCAGCCGCGGUAAUUCCAGCUCCAAUAGCGUAUAUUAAAGUUGUUGCAGUUAAAAAGCUCGUAGUUGAAACUUGGGCCUGGCUGGCAGGUCCGCCUCACCGCGUGUACUUGUCCGGCCGGGCCUUUCCUUCUGGAGAACCUCAUGCCCUUCACUGGGUGUGCUGGGGGACCAGGACUUUUACUUUGAAAAAUUAGAGUGUUCAAAGC